rnacentral:rRNA from 1 species
UGGAACUUAAGCAUAUCAAUAAGCGGAGGAAAAGAAACCAACAGGGAUUGCCUCAGUAACGGCGAGUGAAGCGGCAACAGCUCAAAUUUGAAAUCUGGCCCUAGGCCCGAGUUGUAAUUUGCAGAGGAUGCUUUUGGCGCGGUGCCUUCCGAGUUCCCUGGAACGGGACGCCAUAGAGGGUGAGAGCCCCGUCUGGUCGGACACCAAGCCUCUGUAAAGCUCCUUCGACGAGUCGAGUAGUUUGGGAAUGCUGCUCAAAAUGGGAGGUAUAUGUCUUCUAAAGCUAAAUACCGGCCAGAGACCGAUAGCGCACAAGUAGAGUGAUCGAAAGAUGAAAAGCACUUUGGAAAGAGAGUUAAACAGCACGUGAAAUUGUUAAAAGGGAAGCGUUUAUGACCAGACUUGGGCCGGUUGAUCAUCCAGCGUUCUCGCUGGUGCACUCUGCCGGUCCAGGCCAGCAUCAGUUCGCUGCGGGGGAUAAAGGCGUCGGGAAUGUGGCUCCUCGGAGUGUUAUAGCCCUUCGCGCAAUACCCUGUGGCGGACUGAGGUUCGCGCAUUCGCAAGGAUGCUGGCGUAAUGGUCAUCAACGACCCGUCUUGAAACACGGACCAAGGAGUCGUCUUCGUAUGCGAGUGUUCGGGUGUAAAACCCCUACGCGUAAUGAAAGUGAACGCAGGUGAGAGCUUCGGCGCAUCAUCGACCGAUCCUGAUGUUCUCGGAUGGAUUUGAGUAAGAGCAUACGGGGCCGGACCCGAAAGAAGGUGAACUAUGCCUGUAUAGGGUGAAGCCAGAGGAAACUCUGGUGGAGGCUCGCAGCGGUUCUGACGUGCAAAUCGAUCGUCAAAUAUGGGCAUGGGGGCGAAAGACUAAUCGAACCUU